UUGAAAUGCUAGUUAGAAGCCACGGGGCUGCGGUUUGCAUGCCGACUAUCUGGGCAUCAGUGAUUUUUUCUUGUUCUGUGCUGUGAUAGCACCUAAUAAAUGGAUUAUUUUCUUAGCAAUUUUUAAGUUCAGUUAUUGGGAUGCUGGAGGCAGACGGUUCAUGGAGGAAAUCUGUCAGCCCCAGAAUUUGUUUCCCUGUUGGUUUGUCGGAGCUAUUCUUUUGACCUUCAAGGUGCAGAAUAGGGUUCAUCUAUUCACUGAAGCUUUUGCCUGAGGAGAGGAGACUGAGGGAAAUCAAGCCUGUUCUUGGAUCACAGUCUAUUUGGCUUGACGUUGUCAGUGCAGUUUUUCUUAUGUGAUGAUGCUUAUGCAAAUGAUGCUUUACACAACCAAUUAGAAGCUGUCUCUGAGCCAACAACACAGGCAGAAGACUGGAACUAUGACCAUUUGCCAACCUCUCUCCACAUAUACAGUAUGAGGAGAAUGGAAGUUGGAACUCUGCUGGAAGUAUGGAAUGGCACAUCCUAAAAAUAGAAGUGCAACAGGAAUUACCUACAAAGGAAACUGGAAACUCCACAGCAUCUCUCUGUCAUCCUUCCCUCCAGAUGGUGCCUCCAAAUCCCUUCUGAAGGCGAUUGUGCAAACCAGCAUAACAAAUACAAGAGAUUCUGUGAGCAGCCUUCUCUACAGAAAGAUGGACUUCUAUCUCAGAGCUGUUAAAUAAGAGAAAAAUUAGGAUUAGUCCCAUCAGUUCUCAACACUAAAAUAAUGCCUAAUAAUGCCUCAUUUUCCAGUGAUAAUUUUUGAUCUGUAUUUGCCAAACAGCUCAACAAGAAAUGUUCCCCGUUCCAACCAGUAGAAAUUAAUACCAGAGACAGAAAUCCUUUCACUGAAGCCAUGGAGGAAGACACACACUCCAGUCCUGACCAUUGAACCACUGUGGUUUAAUUAUGCAAAACUGGGGUUGAAGAUUCAAGAUAUUGCUCAGAUUGUUCUGCAAUAAACUCUUCUGAUUCAACAGUGUCAGCAGGAAGGAGCCCAUGAGUGCCAAACUAACCCCAUCUCUGCAGCCAGUUGGGCCAUCACAUGAAAGC